rnacentral:ncRNA from 1 species
CGUCUUGAGAAAGGGUUGCCAAUGACUUGUUCUGAGAUUAUACCGUUUAAACUUGAUCUGGACAAUACCAGCGAAAGGACUACUGCUGCUUUCUGAUG